UACGAAGGGUGCUAGCGUUGCUCGGAAUCACUGGGCGUAAAGGGUGCGUAGGCGGGUCUUUAAGUCAGGGGUGAAAUCCUGGAGCUCAACUCCAGAACUGCCUUUGAUACUGAGGAGCUUGAGUUCGGGAGAGGUGAGUGGAACUGCGAGUGUAGAGGUGAAAUUCGUAGAUAUUCGCAAGAACACCAGUGGCGAAGGCGGCGCACUGGCCCGAUACUGACGCUGAGGCACGAAAGCGUGGGGAGCAAACAGG
rnacentral:rRNA from 1 species